GACGAACGCUGGCGGCGUGCUUAACACAUGCAAGUCGAACGGAAAGGCCCUGCUUUUGUGGGGUGCUCGAGUGGCGAACGGGUGAGUAACACGUGAGUAACCUGCCCUUGACUUUGGGAUAAUUCAGGGAAAUGGGGGUUAUUACGGGAAAGAGGUCCUUGUGGCUGGGUGGGGGUGGGAAGGUUCGGCGGUUGGGGGUGGACUCGCGGCUUAUCAGCUUGUUGGUGGGGUAGUGGCUUACCAAGGCUUUGACGGGUAGCCGGCCUGAGAGGGUGACCGGCCACAUUGGGACUGAGAUACGGCCCAGACUCCUACGGGAGGCAGCAGUGGGGAAUAUUGCACAAUGGGCGGAAGCCUGAUGCAGCAACGCCGCGUGCGGGAUGACGGCCUUCGGGUUGUAAACCGCUUUCGCCUGUGACGAAGCGUGAGUGACGGUAAUGGGUAAAGAAGCACCGGCUAACUACGUG
rnacentral:rRNA from 1 species